CGCGCCAGACCUGCCCACUGGCCUUAUCUUGAGCUGUGACAGACGCCCAGCAGUCGCCUCAUCCCUCCAGCACAUGCCCUGACCUCUCUGACUUCUCAUUCCCAGCACUGCCAACAGUAGACUGGAUCACCACCACACACAGUUUUUGUCCAUAUAAUGAAAGUCAAUGGGAUAUAGGUUCUUUUUGAAAUAUGUUCUUUUGUGUUUCACAGAAGAAAGAAAGUAAUAUAGGUUUGGAACGUCAUGAGGGUGAGUAAAUGAUGAUAGAAGUUUCAUUUUUGGGUGAACUAUCACUUUAAAUUCUGUCCGGCUCUCAUUGAAAAUGAUUUGUGUCCCAGCAGAUAACCUUUUCCAGGCCCAUCCUGCUUCUGCUUCUAACUGUCUGUGAGUCUCCUCACCUGUUAAGCUAAAUGUUGUGGUGGACGAAGGGUGAAUGGCUGCUAAUGAGCUACAAAGCACUCUUACUGGAGGCUGAUGCUGUUACUGCAGUGUGACCACACCGCAAUAGGCAGGUGUAUGAGUGAUUACAUACAUUUGGCUCUGAUCCCUCGCAGUGAGAAACCAAAAUGGUCAUUCUCUGCACAGCUCAUGUAACUCUCAUCAGGAACACGGUCAAAUAAGCCCAUUAUUAUGCUGUCCAAACCACUCCAGAGGAGCACAUGUAUCCCAGCUCAUCAAUCUCAGCACGCAGUGGAGAUCAACACAGAGUACAGCUCAGUCGGCCCAUCCUGGCCGUUCAGAGCAAACGGGGCAUGUAAUUAUCUGGAGCCAUCUCAGGAGGUCGGCUGGGAUUUGGGGAAUGUGUCCCCCUCCUCCACAUCCCUGUUCUUUUCACCUUUCAACCCCAUCGUUCUUCUCAGCAUAAGGGCAUUUCUUCAGCUGGAGGAUCACACUGUCACACCAGAGUGGACAAGACUGGCCGUUCGGUGUCCAUCUCUGUGAUUGUCAAGGCGUGGCCAUCAUGACAAGGCGUUCUUACAAAGCUGCACUCAAGUUAAAAGAAGUUCCAAAGACAUGUCUCUAGACCUUCCUUCCACUGCCCAACAUCUAGUAUUCUUCAAUGCUGAAACGUGUUGAAAGUCCUUUAAAUUGGCAUGGUACUUUGAAAUUAGUUCAGCUAUUGUAUUUAAAUCUGAACGCAGGAUUCAAAAAUGUUUUAGCAGGCAACCUAAUGUGAUUUUUUUUUUUUAAACCAAAAGGAUGCAUUAAAUCCUAUCAAAAGUGGUAGUAAACACAUUUAUAAUGUUACAAAAGAUUUCUAUUUCAACACAGAAAUGCAUUCUGUGUUAAAGGCCCCUUAAACUGGUUGAAGGGGCUGUUCACAUAGAACUUGUUUUAGUGUUAAAAACUGCAACAUGAGAGUAGCAGAAAAAAACCUGAACAUCCGAUGCUGUCCUAUUUACUCAGGAAACAAUUGAAAAGCUGCAC
rnacentral:lncRNA from 1 species